UUCCUCCAGAUUCCUUUCCCCUCAGGUCUACACAUUGGUCUGAUAGGCUAACCAAGGAGGAAAAGUAGCACUGAAGUGGGCUCGGAGUCUCUAUGGACAUACAAGUUCAUUUCAAACAUAU
rnacentral:snoRNA from 1 species